rnacentral:rRNA from 1 species
UACGGAGGCCCCAAGCGUUACUGAGAAUCACUGGGUUUAAAGGGUGCGUAGGUGGUCCGUUAAGUUCGUUGUGAAAUCCCUGGGCUCAACCCAGGAAAUGCUUCGAAUACUGGCGGACUUGAGGCUAGUAGAGGUCACUGGAACUGACGGUGGAGCGGUGAAAUGCGUAGAUAUCGUCAGGAACGCCGAUGGUGAAGACAGGUGACUGGGCUAGUUCUGACACUGAGGCACGAAAGCGUGGGGAGCGAACGGG